rnacentral:tRNA from 1 species
GCCCGUCUAGCUCAGUUGGUAGAGCGUAAGGCUCUUAACCUUGUGGUCCUGGGUUCGAGCUCUAGGGUGGGUG